rnacentral:rRNA from 1 species
AUUGAACGCUGGCGGCAUGCUUUACACAUGCAAGUCGAACGGUAACAGGCCUUCGGGUGCUGACGAGUGGCGAACGGGUGAGUAAUGCAUCGGAACGUACCCAGAGGUGGGGGAUAACGCAGCGAAAGCUGUGCUAAUACCGCAUGUGAUCUGAGGAUGAAAGCGGGGGACCGAGCAGCAAUGUUUGGCCUCGCGCCUUUGGAGCGGCCGAUGUCGGAUUAGCUAGUUGGUGGGGUAAAGGCCUACCAAGGCGACGAUCCGUAGCUGGUCUGAGAGGACGACGAGCCACACUGGGACUGAGACACGGCCCAGACUCCUACGGGAGGCAGCAGUGGGGAAUUUUGGACAAUGGGCGCAAGCCUGAUCCAGCAAUGCCGCGUGCGGGAAGAAGGCCUUCGGGUUGUAAACCGCUUUUGGCAGGAACGAAACGGUGUCCGCUAAUACCGGGCGCUAAUGACGGUACCUGCAGAAUAAGCACCGGCUAACUACGUG